UCGGACGUGGUGCACGGUGCACACCUGCGCUGAAAUUCUAGAACAAGGUGGAGAUAAAAUAUGUGGGGGUCCUGGGCUCGACUCCCAGCGUUCGAA